ACCGGUACCGACCGCAAAAACACACACACCCAACCCACCCACCUCCCUCUUGAUCCCCACUCCUCUUCCACUGCGCCGCCUCCUUCCUCCACCUGCCGGCGACUCGCCGCGCCCAACUCCCGCCGCAACGGCCGCACCCACCUCCCGCCCCGACGGCCGCCCCCACCUCCCGCCCUGAUGGCCGCGCCCACCUCCCGCCACGACGGCCGCCCCCAACCUUCUGCCGCGGCUGGCGCCCCUCCCCAGAUCCCGCCACAGCCCCAAAAACCAGCCGGCGCCGCCGCUGUCAUCCUGCACUAGAUCGACCCGCCGCUAUCGCUCCGCUGUCGCGUACAGGCAAUUCAACGCCUCAACCCCAGGCCGUUCAAUGCCUUGCCGACCGCCGGCUCCCCCAUGGACGCCUAGCUCCUGCACUAAAACCACUGUGGCCCAGGGAUUCACCCGCCCCAACCCACUGGCCCGGUUACGAAUGCCACGCGCUCCCUCCAGUGACCAGCCCCGCGUCGCGCAUGCCCCUCCGAUGACCGGAGACCUGCCACGCGCCCCGCACUCCAGCCGCGGCCAGCUCCCUCCUGUGCUGCUCGGUUGCUUGAAUAGACGUGUAGCAGUUCAAAACAUGCAGGCCUCUGCCCCUCCGAAAUGCCCAGUUCCCCUUCGUUCAUGUCGCUUUCUCGCCCAUACACACGGUUGGAGAAUCAUCGACCUCGUCGAGCUUGACCUUGCAAGCAGCCUCGCUCGCCGUACAUGAUUUUUGUCUCCUGAGGAUUAAAUAAAAAGCUUGCUCAAAGGAAGCAUUUCCCAUCAGUGAAUUGGCUCAUUUCCUACUCAAAUACUCGCAGGCACUUGAUUCCUACAAGAAGUUUGAUUCAGACUUCAUUGCUAUUAGAAUGAAGGCAUAUGAGGUGUUGCACAGGGAGGAUGAUCUAAGUGAAAUUGUGCAGGGAGAAGGUCACAAUCAGGCACUGUAAAAGAAUUCUGAAUUAUUGUCUGUUAAACACUUCACAAGAUUCUGCAUCCGGGAAAUGGCUAGUCAUUAUCAUGCACCUUAGCAAGGAAUAGUAGACGGUAUGACAUGUAAAAAAGAUGCGUUGAAGUGGUUGGUGCUGCUCUCCUGAAAGAUGAUUGAUGGCUACCUCCUCCCGCUGGUGGGGCUCUAUCGCUGUAGUGCCCCGGUUGUUCACAGCCGCUACCCCAGGUCGUUCAGCAACACAGCGCUAAGUCGUUCGACGCCGCAGCUCGGGAGGUGCCCGCUUUUCCCCACCUCCCCCUGUAUGUUCAUCUCCUUCUCUUGUGUAUAUUUAGUUCAACAUCUCGUGAUUAUUCAGGUUACCUUAGUCGGCAUUCUCAGUUCAUCUUGCAGGUGAUUGAGCUCCCCUUUGGUUCAUCUUGGAGGUGUGUUUUUGGGCAGUACGAAUACAUUGCUAUAGUUAGUACAGAUGUGGCACCUUGCGGAGUACUAAAAAGACCAACUGCUUAGGAUUACUAUAAUGAGCUAAUAAUAAUAUUUGAGUCCUUCAGGAUCCUCUAGUUCUGGAUGUCCACCGCCACCCCCUUCAACCCCUAUUUCUUAAGGAGGCUCUCUGCUUGCCGCUCGGUUGUCCUCUAUUUGUUCUAAUUUCUUGCAAAUCAAGUUUAGUUUGAUGAUGGCUGUUGAAGAUUACAUUUGUGUGCUCUGAUUGAUUUAGUUUCUGAAUCUUGACUUGCUAAAAUGAACCUACUAUGUUUUCAAUCAAUUGAUGGAGUGCAGGAAAUCCAAAAAUGUCUUACUGUUUACUCCAUCAAUUCAUUGAGUUUCAGUCCAUAGGUUGCUCGUGAUCCUCGCUCCUUCAGCUCCACUUCGUCGGCGCCAUCAGUCCACAGAAGUAGGGGCGGCGUGCCCGUCAACAAACAAGAACAGAAGUUCUUCUUGUACAUCCGCCGCCAGCCCGGCGCCCCCGUGCGAUCCAUCAACCGCAGCCGAGAACCUCCGCCCCGCUUCCAUCGCCGGUUGUCGUCCCUCCACCCCUCCUCCUCCCACAACCAUGAUCUGGUUUCAGCAGCUGCCAUGAUGCAAUGUUGCUACUCCCUCCCUACAACAUGGACACAAACAAGCUAAUGGAUGAAAAAAUGAUUAUAGAUCAUUAUUGCUAUGAUCUGUAGUUUCUGUGAACUGAUAUUUGAGACUCUCUCCAGGCUCUGUAGCUUCUGUGAACGGAUAGUGCAGACUCAAUGAACUCUGUCCAUCUCGACUCUUGAACUGAUAGUAGAUAGUAGAGAAGAAUGUAGUGUUGCCUGUCAACUAUUGGUUUGGCCAGUUUCGAAUUUUGGCCUGGUUGAACUUUUGGUAGAGCAUCGGUUUGUUGUCAGUUCUAGUGCACUCAAGCAUAAGGAGGGUUUGACCUAUUAUCGAUGGAUCACUAUAACUUAACUUAUCAUGUCAGUUCUACUACGGCGCUCACGAAGGUACAAAUGUACUGAAUGUUCACACCAUUAAUCUUUUCAUUUUGUGAACAAACAUCAAUUCAGUAUGAAAAAGGAACAUAAUAAGUCAACUUUGCAAGUGCAUCUGUUCACCUUGAACAAAAUACAGAAGUGCACCAUCAAGUUUCCAUCAGUUCGCUUAUUAAAAAAACGGGAAAUUGGUUGUGUAAAGAAAACCUGAGAACCAAUGUCAGCUUAGAAGUUCAGUAGGUAACUCCACGCAAGUGCACUCGUUAGAAAAUUUGGGGUUUCCUAUAUUUUAUAGACUGCAGAAAUUUUGAGUUUUCUAUGUUUGCGUUACUUAACGUGUAUGUAUGAAGUAUUAAAUUCCAGUGCGAAAUUAGUUAAGUUCAUUACAAUUGGUACUAUGAAAUACAGUACGACAAGCAAUUCUUUUGAGUGUUUUUACACAACCAAUGAUGUUGGUAUUUCACUUCCAAGGAUGCAGUACUGUGGUAUAGCAAUUCAGUCACUAGAAAGAAGAUAAAUCAAUUCAAAAAUACUUGUCAUAAGUAGUUAAGAGUUUAUUUGUGGUGGUUACCAAUUCAAUAGCUAGAAAAAGGAUACAUCAGUUCUAAUAUACUUGCCAUAAGUAUUUAAGAGUUUAUUUGCGGUGGUUAAAAAUGAAGGUACUUUGUUCUGAGGACAAGAACUACUAGAAGUUCAAAUGCUGAUGUGUUAAAAAAAACUCCACCUACUUUGUUUAAGCAUUUGAUGUCUUAAUUUCUACACUUCCAUAUAGAAUUUGGUGGCUCACUUUUGCUAAUUUUCUGCAGUUCUUAGGUUAGAGAAGGUAUCAGUUCGCUUUGCAAAAACUAUGAAAUCUGCGUAUCACUUGGGGAUCAGGUUGAGGGGGGAAAUUCACCACAGAGAUACUAGUUCAUCUAUGUCGGUGCCAAUUGUCUCGCAGAGAUGGAAUAGAUUCUGGAGCCUGAACCUUCCACCUAAAGUUAGAAUGUUCCUUUGGCGGCUAGCAAAAACUUCUCUUCCACUGCGUAUGAACAUAAAGAGGAAACAUGUUGAUCUUGACACAAAAUGCCCUGUGUGCAUGAGACUAGAUGAGGAUGGUGGCCACCUGUUCCUAAAAUGCAAGAAGGUCAAGCAAGUUUGGAGAGAAUUACAGCUUGAGGAUGUCAGACUUGCCUUGCUUGAUUGUACUAAUCCGAUGGCAAUGUUUGAUCAAAUCUAGCUGCUUACACCUGACCGGAGGGACUUAGUGUUUUGCCUGCUCCGGGACUGGUGGAAUACAAGAAAUAGGGUGAACCAGGGAAAUAGGCCUCGUAAUUAUCUCGCGGGCACCCUCCAGGUCAACCCGUCUCCACAUCACUCGCGGGUACCCCUCAGGGUCGACCCGCCUUUCCAAGUAACAGUUGUAAAGUCCAAGUAUCCGUGUGUCCAAACAUAAAGGGGAAAACCCGAGGAAUCACCCCCGGUGAAUUCCACUCGAUGUAAU